UCUCGCCUCUCUUGUGCUCUACCUUCCUCUUCCGCUGAUCACACCACAACCGUGUGGAGUACACACCUAAAUGGACGGAAUGCACCGAAAAGUGAGCUAAUUACAAAGCCAGAACCAGAUGUGUGUGUGUAUGUUUACAAAACAAAACACUGUGGACAGACGCACACGGUGCUCCAAGAAGCCUCCCCUCGCAUGUACCAGCAGCAGCACCAGCUGACGGGAUUCUAAUCAAAAACACACACACACACACACACACACACAUACAGAAGCACAACCCUGGAGGUUGGGGAUGGUAACGGUUUCAUCACAUCGGAGUAGAGCAAUGUGUGCGUUAUCAAGGCGAUAAGAAGGUAAACAGAGCGCGUUAGCAUUGCGCGUCGCACGUUCCAAAUUGCAGUAGGCCGCCAGUCACACAGACCGUUUGACGUUUAGUGCACAGUGUGUGUUUGUGCGCAGCUAGAGCGACUCGAUGCUGCUAGUGAACGAGUGAGAGUUUUAGGCGAUUCUUUUUUAGGGCCGCGGAUGGAAGGAAUGAUUUUGCGGGUAGAAUCGAACCGAACAGCACCGGCAGUCCGAUGGGAGAGUGCGUCAAGUCGUGUUGCUACUGUUGUGCCUCGUGCUACAACACACCGAUCUGCUGUGUUGGAAGUCUGUGCUGUGUGCUGAUACCGCUGCUCGGGCUGCUGGUGAUUCUGUUCGGCGCAGUGUUUGGCAUGAUCGUUGGCAUAGCCUGGCUGACACAGAACCACACCGAACCGGCGACCGUCAACCGUAUGCUUGCGAUACUGGCAAACAGUUCCGCCGGGGAGUCUUUCACCGCGAGCGAACAAAGUGUUGUGCAGUAGUAGGAGCUAGACGGUGGAGGAGUUGUUAUCAAUCCAUUAUCAAGCACUUCCGACACAACACGAACAGCGGGUGUCAACACACAAAAAAACAUCUUUAGAGCAACUUUGUAUGCUAGGUCUUUCCCAUACAGCAACAACACCCCCGGGGACUGGCAUGGUUCUCGGAUGGUCAAGGAAAAUGCGUGCGGUGCGGCAGAUGCCACCUCAGAGAUUAGAUUGCGGAGAUCGAUUAGCUGAAGCAGCAGCGGUAGUAGCAGCACUUCACGAUACACAGGCCGGCAUCAUCGUUAGCUGACAUACACAAACACACUAGCAUACGUAUAGGAUAUAGGUCAAUAGGUCUAGCAAACUGUAAGAAGGGUCUUAGCAUAAUUAGUAUGCAGAUUGCGAAUGCGAUCACCGAUCCACCAAAAAGAGAGAGAGAGAACAAAACAAAAAAACAAGAUUGAUGAUGGUUUUAGAGGCACCGUUUUGUACUGCGUGUGAAACGCAACUAGAAGGUUCAGGUGGGAGGGUUUUGGUUUGCUCUUAUCAGCAAAUCGAAGAUUUAGCCCAAAGAUAGUGCGCAUAAAAGGUUCCGAUCUUACGCAAAGCAGACACCUCAAAACAAACCCUUUUGCCCCUCCACCUCAAACACCACCACCACCAGCAGCUGGCCUGUAUUAGAGCAGGUUGGUGGAAGGUUUAAUUGAUCGACGGUUGUGCGGAGAAAAUCGUACGCUCCAAUUAGGCUUGGCGAUGUGCACUUGCUGCCUUGGACAGCCCCAAUAUAAACUGGCAGCAUAAUCGAAGCAGAAUUGUACCUGUCUGUGUGCUUGUGUGUGUGCUUGUGUGUGUGUGUGUCUCUAUGCGCAAUAAUUUCUCCCUCUUGCCGGCAAAACCACCACCAGCACCGCUCUCUAUGCUGUCACUUUCACAUGACAUGGCACUGAGAGACAUGGUUUUGGUUUGCAUCUGUUUGCCUUCUUCUUUGCCUGGUGGUGUGCGGCGGGACGGCUUACAUAAGCGCCGGUGUGUUGCAGCUGCCGCUGCUCCACAAACUGCUGCUGCUGCACCACAUAAAACGGUACCACCACCGCCAGGCGCACCAGCGCGCGCAACCGGCCUGGGCAAAACAAUUCCCAAUCCGGUGGCUCCAAUUUCCCACCUUCGAGGGGGGAUGGUGCACCAUAGAAUUUGCGGCGGUGGAGGAGAAGCAGGUGCAAACAUCAAACCCAAAACCGAUGUGGGAUGGAUGGACGACGGUGUCAUUUCGGUUUCGUAUGGUUUGGAUUUAAAAAAUUCAUUCCCAACGCAUUUUUUUGGCUUGGCGCGCGCGCGCCCGGGCAGAAUUGGGCGUUGUGUUGCGUGGAGUAGUGUGCAAUCGUUUUCGAUGUGUGCCCCUUUAAUUUGUACGCAUAAUAUUUACGCAAAUUGGCACUUUCUUUCGGCGUACCGAUUGGGGUGGGGGGGGGGCUCGCUCCACACGGUUUGACAUGAUUGAUCGGCACGGCUAGCAAGUGCUUACCACGCGUGUGCAGGAUGAUUGGGUGUGGUCUUGAGGGAAGAAGUUUAAAUUUAAGCGUAAUUUUGUGAAUACUAAAUAAGCGGUCCUGUCCGGGAGGGGGGUCACACAGUCGUUAUCAAGGAGAAAUAGGUUAAGGAGCGGUGUUGUUGUGAAAGGGGGUUUAGAACCAGCAAAACACACGGAGCUACGGAUUAUAGCCAUUUCGCAGACUGUUAAGGCAAUCAUUCAAUUAAAGGUGAUAUAAUUUAACAACACUUUGACCUACUUUUAGAAAAAAAAUCAGAAUAACAAGCAACCACUCCCCACAAGGUAAAGAUAGUGUAAAGGUGCACCACCCUGAAAGCACCCACCCAGCACAGCAUAAAUAAAUCACCGGUAACAAAAGUGAUUUUAAUCCAUAAAAUACGUUCCAGUUCCUCUUUCACGAAACGAAACGAUAUGCACAAAAUACGCACAAGGUCCCCCAGAGGAGCAAAGAGGCACUUAUGUCGACGACCAUUAUGGCACGGGGCGCAAGCGCUGGAAACAUAUUCAUUACAAUCCAAUCCGUCUGCCUGCUGCACUGUGCACCUGGGGUCGCAUUGUAAGUGCGUAUCGACUUACACCCGUCAAUUGCCGCACACAACACACUGACUCACCACCGAAUGCAGGAAGGAUCCCCCGAGGAAUUGACCCCGGUGGCACGGUGGUUAAAGCAUCAACGGGUUUAAAUCACCGAGAAGAUUUUUAAGCGCCUUACAAAGCGUUCCGUUGGUGCGUUGCAUGCGUCAUAAAGAACGCACCAUAACGCUUGCACGGGCAGUGUACCGACCAACAUGGAAGGUUUUAAAAGGAAUAAAGCGACGGCAUAAGUUGACGGCUUUACUACACUACUGCCGCAGGAUGAUGUGUUUUAUUUUUCACAGUACACACUCGCACCCGGUGUAAAAUUUGUUGUCAUUUUUAUUGCACCGCUUCGUGGGCCAUAAAGCUUAAUAAUAUUAAAUCAAACAGCAAAGCGUCCGUUUACACGACGAGCGACGCACGCUUGCGCUAGCUCCUGCGACAUAAAACGCGGCUGUCGGCUGUGUACAGGGAUGUACCAAAUAGGGUAUUUUCAAAUUUGGGGAAACAAAUUCACGUGUAUUUUCCCGGUAAAACCCCAUAAUGGACGUAAUUGGUAUCUAUAACAUGGCUACGAUAGAACGGCAUCCAAAGGAAAUUUGAAAUAAUAGUGGAUAUGUUAACAAGCAUGGAUGCACGAAGUUUAAAUGAUUCCUGUAGAAUAUAUCUUAAAUGAAGAACAUAAAAAAACAUCAGUGCUACUACUUCUAACUGAGAGCGUCUAAGCACUUGUAUUAGUGUUGCCAUCCCUAAACGACCUGGAGGGUACAAUACACCAUAAACCCUGCGCAGCGAGUUCGGGUUAGGUCGGGUAAAAGUAGGUUCAAUAUCCGAACUGAACUCGCACCAACGGGUCCGAGUCGCUUAUGCUUCUUCGCACCUACUGAUGAACGUUGGGUCGUGCAAUGAAUCAUAGGUGCCAUAUCUAAAUUCUACGAAUGUUCGUGGAUAGCGUCAGUUGAUAUGUAUACACCAUCUGUUGAAAGUUCAUCAUUACAUCGAGUCGAGCAUCAUUUUCAUGUGGCCCGCCAAGACGAUUUUGUUAAAAAUGUGGCCCGCAGAUCGAACAAGUUUGUUCUACUUACAUAUGAAAAGGUGUUGCCAAAGACAUCCUUGUUUUACAUGAGCAAUACGGCUUGGCUUUUGUAAAGAGAACCAGUAUAAACGUAUUUUUAGUGUGCAUUUAGUAUUUUAGAAUUUGUUAAUUUUAUUGAAUCAUGAUAUAUGCAGCGCAUUUAGGUAAAUAUAUCAUUUACUUGCCCAAACUA